rnacentral:rRNA from 1 species
UACGGAGGGUGCAAGCGUUGUCCGGAAUCACUGGGCGUAAAGGGCGCGUAGGCGGCUCGGUAAGUAGGGGGUGAAAUCCUGCGGCUUAACCGCAGGGCUGCCUUCUAAACUGUCGAGCUUGAGCACGGUAGAGGCAGAUGGAAUUCCCGGUGUAGCGGUGGAAUGCGUAGAGAUCGGGAAGAACAUCAGUGGCGAAGGCGGUCUGCUGGGCCGGUUGCUGACGCUGAGGCGCGACAGCGUGGGGAGCAAACAG